AAUUUUGGACAAUGGGGGAAACCCUGAUCCAGCCAGCCCGCGUGUAUGAUGAAGGCCAUCGGGUUGUACAGUACUUUUUGCAGAGAAGAAAAGGUAUCCCCUAAUACGGGAUACUGCUGACGCUAUCUCCAGAUUAAGCACUGGCUAACUAGGUGCCCUCAGCCGCGGUAAUACGUAGGGUGCAAGCGUUAAUCGGAAUUACUGGGCGUAAAGCGUGUGUAGGCGGGUCGGAAAGAAAGAUGUGAAAUCCCAGGGCUCAACCUUGGAACUGCAUUUUUAACUGCCGAGCUAGAGUAUGUCAGGGGGGGGUAGAAUUCCACGUGUAGCAGUGAAAUGCGUAGAUAUGUGGAGGAAUACCGAUGGCGAAGGCAGCCCCCUGGGAUAAUACUGACGCUCAGACACGAAAGCGUGGGGAGCAAACAGG
rnacentral:rRNA from 1 species